rnacentral:rRNA from 1 species
UGCAAGUCGAACGGUAACAGGAAGCAGCUUGCUGCUUUGCUGACGAGUGGCGGACGGGUGAGUAAUGUCUGGGAAACUGCCCGAUGGAGGGGGAUAACUACUGGAAACGGUAGCUAAUACCGCAUAAUGUCGCAAGACCAAAGAGGGGGACCUUCGGGCCUCUUGCCAUCGGAUGUGCCCAGAUGGGAUUAGCUAGUUGGUGAGGUAACGGCUCACCAAGGCGACGAUCCCUAGCUGGUCUGAGAGGAUGACCAGCCACACUGGAACUGAGACACGGUCCAGACUCCUACGGGAGGCAGCAGUGGGGAAUAUUGCACAAUGGGCGCAAGCCUGAUGCAGCCAUGCCGCGUGUAUGAAGAAGGCCUUCGGGUUGUAAAGUACUUUCAGCGGGGAGGAAGGGGUUAAGGUUAAUAACCUUAGCCAUUGACGUUACCCGCAGAAGAAGCACCGGCUAACUCCGUGCCAGCAGCCGCGGUAAUACGGAGGGUGCAAGCGUUAAUCGGAAUUACUGGGCGUAAAGCGCACGCAGGCGGUCUGUCAAGUCGGAUGUGAAAUCCCCGGGCUCAACCUGGGAACUGCAUUCGAAACUGGCAGGCUUGAGUCUCGUAGAGGGGGGUAGAAUUCCAGGUGUAGCGGUGAAAUGCGUAGAGAUCUGGAGGAAUACCGGUGGCGAAGGCGGCCCCCUGGACGAAGACUGACGCUCAGGUGCGAAAGCGUGGGGAGCAAACAGGAUUAGAUACCCUGGUAGUCCACGCCGUAACGAUGUCUAUUUGGAGGUUGUGCCCUUGAGGCGUGGCUUCCGGAGCUAACGCGUUAAAUAGACCGCCUGGGGAGUACGGCCGCAAGGUUAAAACUCAAUGAAUUGACGGGGGCCCGCACAAGCGGUGGAGCAUGUGGUUUAAUUCGAUGCAACGCGAGAACCUUACCUGGUCUUGACAUCCACA